rnacentral:rRNA from 1 species
AGUGGCGAACGGGUGAGUAACACGUGAGUAACCUGCCCUUGACUCUGGGAUAAGCCUGGGAAACCGGGUCUAAUACUGGAUACGACCUUCCCGCGCAUGCGGUGUUGGUGGAAAGCUUUUGCGGUUUUGGAUGGACUCGCGGCCUAUCAGCUUGUUGGUGGGGUAAUGGCCUACCAAGGCGACGACGGGUAGCCGGCCUGAGAGGGUGACCGGCCACACUGGGACUGAGACACGGCCCAGACUCCUACGGGAGGCAGCAGUGGGGAAUAUUGCACAAUGGGCGCAAGCCUGAUGCAGCGACGCCGCGUGAGGGAUGAAGGCCUUCGGGUUGUAAACCUCUUUCAGUAGGGAAGAAGCUGGCCUUUUGGGUUGGUGACGGUACCUGCAGAAGAAGCGCCGGCUAACUACGUGCCAGCAGCCGCGGUAAUACGUAGGGCGCAAGCGUUAUCCGGAAUUAUUGGGCGUAAAGAGCUCGUAGGCGGUUUGUCGCGUCUGCCGUGAAAGUCCGGGGCUUAACUCCGGAUCUGCGGUGGGUACGGGCAGACUAGAGUGCAGUAGGGGAGACUGGAAUUCCUGGUGUAGCGGUGAAAUGCGCAGAUAUCAGGAGGAACACCGAUGGCGAAGGCAGGUCUCUGGGCUGU